CCAAAUAGAAGUACAAGGUAUUUACGUCAUUAGAUUUUUCAACAAAAUUCUAUGGUCACCUGAAGAAGACAAAUUUGGUUUCCCAACCUAGAACUACUCAAGUUGUUAAAGAAAUCAAGAAACUGUGGAGUGGAGAAUACUGAAAGAAUUGCAAUCUGAUCCUUCAAGCAGUGAAAGGGCGAGCCCUUCCACCGAGCAGGUGACCAUUCUUGGCAAGAUGUGUGAACUUUAACAUACAGCUCUCUCUGGCUGCCUGCACCAAAAUGUCUUCAGAAUUUCACACAGAAGAGGCUCUUUUUGCCUCCAUUUUCUUUUUCUCUUGAGGAAAGCAAACAAACAAACAUCAUUUGAGGUGGAGCCACUUUACUUUUUAGACAGAAAUAUCAACUCUAUUGAAUUUGAAAUGUAUAACUAAAUAGAUUGAAAGCUAUCCUAGCACUCAGCAUGUAA